AGUGGCGGACGGGUGAGUAACGCGUAAGAAUCUAACUUCAGGACGGGGACAACAGUGGGAAACGACUGCUAAUACCCGAUGUGCCGCGAGGUGAAACCUAAUUGGCCUGAAGAAGAGCUUGCGUCUGAUUAGCUAGUUGGUGGGGUAAGAGCCUACCAAGGCGACGAUCAGUAGCUGGUCUGAGAGGAUGAGCAGCCACACUGGGACUGAGACACGGCCCAGACUCCUACGGGAGGCAGCAGUGGGGAAUUUUCCGCAAUGGGCGAAAGCCUGACGGAGCAACGCCGCGUGAGGGAGGAAGGUCUUUGGAUUGUAAACCUCUUUUCUCAAGGAAGAAGUUCUGACGGUACUUGAGGAAUCAGCCUCGGCUAACUCCGUGCCAGCAGCCGCGGUAAUACGGGGGAGGCAAGCGUUAUCCGGAAUUAUUGGGCGUAAAGCGUCCGCAGGUGGUCAGCCAAGUCUGCCGUCAAAUCAGGUUGCUUAACGACCUAAAGGCGGUGGAGACUGGCAGACUAGAGAGCAGUAGGGGUAGCAGGAAUUCCCAGUGUAGCGGUGAAAUGCGUAGAGAUUGGGAAGAACAUCGGUGGCGAAAGCGUGCUACUGGGCUGUAUCUGACACUCAGGGACGAAAGCUAGGGGAGCGAAAGGGAUUAGAUACCCCUGUAGUCCUAGCCGUAAACGAUGGAUACUAGGCGUGGCUU
rnacentral:rRNA from 1 species